rnacentral:piRNA from 1 species
UACCUUCUUAGGGUGAACGAGUGAGAAAAC